GGAUGGUGGGCCGUGCGGCAAAGGCGCAGUCCUGCUAAGACUGUUGGGGCGGAAGUCCCCGGCGAGUUCGACUCUCGCACCAUCCGC
rnacentral:tRNA from 1 species